UACAGAGGAUCCCGGAGCGUUGUUUCGGAAUUCACUGGGGCGUAAAAGGGUGCGUAGGUGGGCUUGGAAAGUUUGAAUGUGAAAGCUACAGGGCUUGAACCCUGAAAAUGGCAUUGAAUACUGACUGAGCUGGAGGUUUGGAGGGGGACUGGAAUUCGUUGGUGUAGCAGUGAAAUGCGUAGAUAUCAAGAGGAACACCAGUGGCGGAAGGCGAGUCCCUGGACAACACCUGACACUGAGGCACGAAAGCUAGGGGAGCAAACAGGG
rnacentral:rRNA from 1 species